rnacentral:lncRNA from 1 species
GGCUAUAACACAUAUGAUGUCAGAAGUGGUGUUGAACAUGGUAAAUAGAGGAGCGCUUGUUGUGUGGAGACCUGAGAGUAGUUUUGGCUCCCGUUCUGGUCAUACAGUCCCUCAAGUAAACCAUCAUGCUAAGCAAAUGCAUCUAAUUUCCAUUUCAACUAAUGAGCUUCGGUGAUCACCUACCUUAUACUUUAUCGACGUGUGCAAGUAUUUACUGCAAUCAAUCCAAAAUAUACACUCACCCGUUUUCUUCGGUUCACUUCCCCAGUAAUUUCUGUUUUGAAACAACUAAUUCCAAACUCUAUAAUGAGGAAUGAUUAAGUUGUGCAACAUCCCGUCGCUAUGAUAGUUGGGUUAUUAACCAACUAUCAUGGGCGGUGAUCCCCUUACGUAAUACUGGUUAGAUCGUCUGUAGGAAAUGUUGCCUGGGAGAUUUAUCCUAAUCAAUCCUGCUCAUAAACUUAACAGUUAUCUUGAGUUUCAUAUAUUAAUUAUGUUUGUGGUGUCUUCGGAUACAAGAAAUUCCAGUGUUCUCAACUUUUACCUACUGAUGGUGCCUUUAGCUUUGCAAAUAAAUUUUAUAUGUUAAACCUGGAGUCUUUCGUUACUUUGGUUACGGUGGUUAUCGUGAGCAUCUCGAUUGGCACUGUAUCAUAGGGUAUUUCAAGCUCUCGGAUCAUUAACACAAUCGCUGACCAUCGUAUGAGCUGAGGAAUCCGUAUCUCUACUGAGCUGAGAUAUCCGCGGGGUCUAACCUGAGCUGCCUCAGCCGACUCAUCCUUUCAUC